GGCAGUUCUCAGGUAACACACCCUGGAAUCGGGCUCCCUCCUCUCUGAUUCCGGGUGUGUCACCCAAGAACCGCA
rfam:Myotis lucifugus cont2.56622, whole genome shotgun sequence.